UGCAUUCUAGAGAGAGAGAGCUGAGAUGAGUAUGCUAUAAAGGACUCUACAGCUAUGGAGGGCUGGUGAUUUCCAUCACAUACCCAUUCAAUUCAUCUGUUUAGUCUAUGAAGAAGACAGGUUAUAUCAACUCUCCAACUUUGUCCUAUUCUGUUCCACAGGGAACAGAUUGUCUUUACAUUCUACAAGACAUCCCAUGGAUCCACUACCCUGAUGGACCAGGGGAGUAGGGAAUAGCAACUACUUUAAACACUUUGAUAUCAACAAAAGCCAGGGCUGGGCCAAGCUGAAGCUGGGAGCCAGGAACUCAAUCCCAUUCUUCAGGACAACUUUCCAAGGUCCUUUACAUGCUAACUUUGAGUAAGCAUCAUUAGAAGAAAGCGCCAAUAUUGCCUCCUGGAAGAUGGUAUCACAGCAACACUUCUUGUGUCUGGAAUCAAGACUCAUUCCUAUCAUUUCCUCCAAACUCACAGGUCGUCUGCAGUCAGAGGAUCCCCAGCAAGGCUAUUAAGUGAAGCGUGUCUCCAUCCCUUCUGCCGUCAGCAGAAGCAAUACCAACAGCUGCUUCUGAGUGGGCCUUUCUAGUGGAAGAAGUGUGAGCUGAGAGUCACAUCACACACUGUGGGUUCUGAUGCUAAUACAACAGUCUUCCUGCUUUCAUCUUGACCACCUGUAGUUUAUUCUCAGCAGAGUAGCCUGCGUGGGGCUUAUAAAGGGAAAUCAAAUCACAGCACUCCUUUCUCAAAACCUUCUUUUGGCUUCUCGUUUAACCCAGCCUUUGACUAUGUUGGGUGUUUUCCAGUUUAGGACUGGACUCUGCUGGAAAGGGCUGGAAAGCUCUUGACCUAGAUUUUCUCAGGGAUCACUGCCCCAUUUUCUUCAAGUGUUGAUUCAAGUGUCAUUUUCCCAAAGAGCUUAUUCUGGCACUUUACCUAAAAUAGUGAGGGGAAACUCCUCCAUGGCCCAAGGGGCCUUGGCUACGUUCUUAUCCCUCUAACCUGCUCUGAGUCUUGUCUCCAGAAUCUUAUGUUCUAAUGUACUGCAUCACUAAUUAUGUUUAAUACUUAUUUGAAUGCAGUCUUCAUAUAAUUAGAUAUCUUUGUGUGUUCUGUUAUCUGGCUCCAGUGCCUAGAAGACAGCUUGGUACAUAGUAAACACUCAAUAAACACUUAUUGAAUAAGUUAAUUAUUUAAUUGGAGAACAAAAAUAGUUCAUACAUUACAAAGGGACCUGUAGAGGUUGUCCCCAGUGGCCACACACUUUCAUUCUAUUUCAUUCUACUUUUACACCAACUACAUGUCAGGCUCUGUUCUUGUGGAUUUCACAUACAGAGAGUCAGAGUAACUGGUUUCCUGCAAGGUGGCCUUUGAGAGAAGGAGUUGGUUCUUCUGUUAGAGCUUCCAUCUAGUGCUUGAAUCAAUAAGCUUUGGAAGAGUG